rnacentral:rRNA from 1 species
UACGUAGGGGGCAAGCGUUGUCCGGAUUUAUUGGGCGUAAAGAGCGUGUAGGCGGCCUGACAGGUCUGCUGUGAAAACUCGGAGGCUCAACCUCGAGAUGUCGGCGGAAACCGUCUGGCUAGAGUCCGGAAGAGGAGAGUGGAAUUCCUGGUGUAGCGGUGAAAUGCGCAGAUAUCAGGAAGAACACCUAUGGCGAAGGCAGCUCUCUGGGACGGUACUGACGCUGAGACGCGAAAGCGUGGGGAGCGAACAGG